GAUGACGCUGGCGGCGUGCUUAACACAUGCAAGUCGAACGAGCGGCGGAAGGGUGAGUAAUGUAUGGGGAUCUGCCCGAUAGAGGGGGAUAACUCCUGGAAACGGUGGCUAAUCCCGCAUACUAUCGGAUUAACCCAUAUGGGAUGAUCUAGUAGGUGGGGUAAAGGCUCACCUAGGCGACGAUCUCUAGCUGGUCUGAGAGGAUGAACAGCCACACUGGUGAUGAGACACGGCCCAGACUCCUACGGGAGGCAGCAGUGGGGAAUAUUGCACAAUGGGCGAAAGCCUGAUGCAGCCAUGCCGCGUGUGUGAAGAAGGCCUUAGGGUUGUAAAGUACUUUCAGCGGGGAGGCGUUACCCGCAGAGAAAGCAACGGCUAACUCCGUGCCAGCAGCCGCGGUAAUUC
rnacentral:rRNA from 1 species